rnacentral:lncRNA from 1 species
GCACAGAAAAUAAGAGACAAAAUUUGCCUACAGAAGACUUUAGACUUCUAGGACAUUAUUUUUUUUUCCUGUUCUCACAGAGAGCCACCAUAUUGCUACAACAGACCACUAGGUACAGCUCUGCAGAAAGGAAAAAUAUUCUUCCUACCUUUUCCCCAAGUGAAGCACUUCCAUUUCUUCCUUUCCUUUCCCCUCCCCCAAGUGCUCCCAAUCUUUUUCCUUAGUAAAGCAUCCCAUAAGCUGCAAACCAGCCUAAGCUGAGGGUUUAUAUAAGAGCAAUGAGCCACAGACACUGAAGAUAACAUUAAUGAUCUACAGAUGUUACCAGGUCCAGCUUUGAUUUAAAAGGGAUGAGGUAGGGGGGUGGGGAGCUUUUAGGGGUUGAAAAGAAAAUGGGGGCCCUAGAGUCUUGUGCUACUAGACAAAGGGCUGUGCAAUAAGCUAGGAUUUUUUUUUCUCUUUCCUCUCUUAGAGUCUAUUCUUUUACUAUCAAGCCUAAAUUCAUAUGGGGUAUGCCUGACCUUAUAUAUGGCUAUCCUCUGUAAAGCUGCUCAGGCUUCUGAAUACACAUCUACAAAUAACACAGUCUGGGCCAGCGGUCAAAAACUGUCCAUAUAAAGUUCUGGUGUACAGCCUGCUCACCUAGCCUAGAAAUUACACAAUAGUAUGGAGAUUCCUGUUGAAAGAGACAAGAAGUUAAUCUACUAUGCAAGAUCAAAAUGGCAAGAAAAUGUCAACAGCAGAACAGUUGAAUUUCAUAGUUGUCAUUGCAAUGGAAGUAAAAUCCAGGCCAGCAUUAGGACCUAAAAUCUCAGUGUAAUCACUUCAGGUGGAAAAAUGGGUAUAAGGCCUACCUCUAUUCUAGAGAACCACCAAACAUGAAAGAGGAGUUUUUCUUUUUUUUUUUUCUUUUUUUUUUCUUUUUGCAAAACCCAAAAUGCAGCAUGAAACCAUAUACUUUGGAAACAAAACAGAACUAGGAAAAUGGUAACAAGCCAACUCAGACCUUUACAGAAAUGUCCCCACCAGAGUGGAGAAAAUAACACAGCUAUACUGAAACACAGAGCCUAGAAGCCUGAAGUUUUAGUAGGAUACUAACUAGGGAACAUGAACUGGAAGCAGUGUCAAAUUCAGGAAACAGAAACGAAUAAAAUGGCACAAUUUUUGUAUUAGCUCUGGUGU